CAGACGGCUGUACUCCUAUUUCUACCUGCCAGAUGAGACACGGAUAACAGCCCGUCCUUGCUGUGUAUUUCUUCCAACUUUCUUCAUUACUUGAAUCAUCAGAUGAUUCCCACCAGGAAAGGACCCUUUCACAGCCGUUCGGUUGCUCGCACUGCUGGAAACUUUGCCUGCAAUUUCUCGGCUUUAAAAUUUCAGUCAUUGUUUCUGGUCGUGUGUGUGAUGUGCAUUCCCAUCUGAAAUAGCAAGGAGACCCACAGUGAAGAUUGUAUAGAUAUUUUUUUUCUUGUUGGUGUUUUUUUUUUCUUUCUUUUUUUUAAAUAAAAAUCAGCUCAGAUUCUGCACCAUGUUUGUUCACUGUUGGUUUUAUGAUGGUAAAUUGUCCCUGGAAGGUACAAAACAGCAGCCACAUGGCGGUAGGCCUCAUCAUCAUCUUUUUAUAGAUCUACUAACCUAGAGCACUAUUUUGCAUUGUUGAAGCUUUUUAUUAAAACUAGAAGACUAGUGAUGUAUGAAACUGGAAUCCUAUCUGGUCUCAGUGGCAGCAGAACUUUUUGUAUGCAGAGAUGUUAAAACUAAAGUAGUUCAGUUGUCAAAUCCCACAGGAGGGCAAGGCAGUGGUGUUACCACAUGCACACACGCCUCUAGUAAUGUCAGGUAUGUUGGUGAACCAGCUCCACUUAUUUGUUCUUAGAUGAUGGGCGUUAACUCUGUACUUUCCUUGUGUGGUGGCUCAUUUUAAUUAAAAAUGCAUGCAGACAUGGGAGGAAAAAAAAAACUUGAAGCUUAGGAUGGGAGUAAGAAAGGAAACGAUUUGCACACAUUUACAUAUAUUGAUGCUUGAAAUAGAUGUUUUAAAUCUUAUUAAAGGCUUGUUUUAAUGUAUUGUAAAUGUUGCAAUUUUCUUUUUUUGUAAUUGUUAUAAAUUCCCUGUUACGUA